AUCUCUCUGUGUUGCCCAGGCUGAUCUUGAAAUCCUGUGCUCAAGUGAUCCUCCUUCUUCCUUGGCCUGAGAAAGGCUGGGUUUACAGGAGUUGUAUAUUUUCCUGUCCCAUUAUUGUUCAGCUUAGCAAUAUAACUUCCUGUCUGAUGGAAUGUGAGUGGAAGUGAUGUCUUCACUUCCCCAAAAAUUUUAAGAGCCACUGAGUGGAUUUACCACUUCUCCUUUCCAUAUGCCACAAGACUUACAAUUCCAUGAUAGCAGCUGGUCCUGAAAUGAAGACAGCUGGAGCAGAACCCGAGUUAACCUGCAAGAGACAUUUAACUGGAAUUUGAAGGUUUUGUUGUUGUAAGCCACAACAACAAAGAGGUUGUUGGUAACUGCAACGUAACCUGUGUGAACUGGCUAAUAGAGGACAGCUGAAUAAAUGCACACGGCUCACAGCUGACAGAGCAACCAGCCCAAGAGAUAUCCUUAAAAUGCUGAUAUUUCCAUAUCCUUAAAAAUAUUUGAAAUAUGAAUGAUUUGUGUCUUGAGGUCAGGAUCAGUGCCUUAAUUAUUCAAUUUAUGAUGAAAUAUUUUGAACAAAAUAUUUUUCCACUCAAAAGUUAUAUGCUAUUUUACGUUUUUAAAUGGAAGCAAAAGUGACUUGUCUUGAAAAUAGUCUUCUAAACCACUGUAAUAUUUGAGAAGAGUAAGAAAAUCAUGAUUCAUAAUGUUUCUAUUUGUGAACCCUGAAAGAGGCAAUCC
rnacentral:lncRNA from 10 species